rnacentral:tRNA from 1 species
NUAGCUGAAACCAAAAAGAGGUAUAUUAUUGUUAAUAAUAUAAUUGAAUUAAAACAUUCCAGCUAAA